UUGCUUUGGCAGCACACAUACUAAAGUCGAAACAAUAUAGAGAUAAUUAGCAUGGCCUGUGUGCAAGGAUGACAUACAAAUUUGCAUAUUUUUCUAAACUUAA
rfam:Tupaia chinensis contig98991, whole genome shotgun sequence.